rnacentral:lncRNA from 1 species
AUGGAACAUUUCCAUUACCUGGAAUACACCAAAGUCAAGAUGCCCUAUGUACCUGUCCAAAACUACCCCAUCAAGGCUCUUUUCAGAUUGAUGAAUUUGUCCACACUGAAAGUUCUUCAACGAAGAUGCAGCUAGUAAAACAGAGGCUUGAAACUGUCACAGAGGUGAUACGUUCCUGUGCUGCAAAAGUCAACAAAAAUCUCUCAUUUACUUCACCACCAGCAGUUUCCUCACAACAGUCUAAGUUAAAGCAGUCAAACAUGCUGACCGCUCAAGAGAUUCUACAUCAGUUUGGUUUCACUCAGACCGGUGAGCCCCUUUCUUACUUUGACAAUUCUUUUAAAUGUUCAGAUGCUUGUUGUGUUGAUGAAUAUCACUUAUUUCUUUAGAAAUAAAGCUCAUAAUGGUCGGUUUUUACACUUGACAAA